UACGGAGGGGGCAAGCGUUAUUCGGAAUUAUUGGGCGUAAAGGGCGCGUAGGCGGCUAGAUGUGUCAAAGGUGAAAUCCCUCGGCUCAACUGAGGAACUGCCUUUGAAACUGUCUGGCUUGAGGCCGGGAGAGGGUAGCGGAAUUCCCAGUGUAGCGGUGAAAUGCGUAGAUAUCUGGAGGAACACCGGUGGCGAAGGCGGCAUCCUGGACCAAUAUUGACGCUGAGGAGCGAAGGCUAGGGGAGCAAACGGG
rnacentral:rRNA from 1 species